GCGGGGGCACAGGGGCUGCCCCUCACCCACCCACUCACUGCUCCCACAGAAGAUCUGCCGGAGGUUGGGGAAGAAGAGGAGAGCGCCGAGCGCCAGGAGGAAGAAGGGGAGAGGUGAGCAGCCCCAGUGCCAGCGCUGAGCAGCCUGCAAGGGGUCGGCCCCCCAGUGUGGGGCUGGGCGGGGGUCCCGGCCGUUCACACGCUCUUGCUUUGGCAGAUGCUUGCGGGAAGGACGGAGCAGCAGGGAUGCCGUCGCCGACCUGGGAGUUGCGGACGAGCCCACGGGAAAGGAGCAGGAAGCCACCCCGGGCCCCGCUGGCAUCCAUGCUGUCCCUGGGCUCCCUCGAUGAAUCUUCUUCCUCCUCCUGUUCCUCCCUCUACUCCUUCCCAGAGCCCUGGCCCGGUGCACUGUCAGAGUUGGCUGCCCGUGCCCCUCGUGCCGCCCCAGAGCCACGAGAGCCACAACCAGGGCCAGAGCCACAGCAAGAACCAGAGCCAGAGCCAGAGGCAGAGCCAGAGGAAGAGCUGGAGCCACAACCAGAGUCAGAGGCAGAGGCAGAGGAAGAGCCUGAGGCUGAGCCAUCCCUGUGCCCCAGCUCGGAGUCCCCGGCUCUGCUGCCAGCAGCCCCCAGCACCCCCUAUUCCCUGCGGAUGACUGAGCAGAGCGAUGGAGCGCAGAGCCCCAUGGAGCCCUCCCCGCCCCACUGCUCCCACACGGAGCUCAUCCAGGAGCUGAUCUGUGCCAUCCGUGGGAACCACGCAGCCGUUGAGC
ensembl:lncRNA